rnacentral:rRNA from 1 species
AAUGAACGCUGGCGGCAUGCCUAACACAUGCAAGUCGAACGAAGCCUUCGGGCUUAGUGGCGCACGGGUGCGUAACGCGUGGGAAUCUGCCCUUGGGUUCGGAAUAACAGUGGGAAACUACUGCUAAUACCGAAUGAUGUCGUAAGACCAAAGAUUUAUCGCCCAGGGAUGAGCCCGCGUAGGAUUAGCUAGUUGGUGUGGUAAAAGCGCACCAAGGCGACGAUCCUUAGCGGUCUGAGAGGAUGAUCAGCCACACUGGGACUGAGACACGGCCCAGACUCCUACGGGAGGCAGCAGUGGGGAAUAUUGGACAAUGGGCGAAAGCCUGAUCCAGCAAUGCCGCGUGAGUGAUGAAGGCCUUAGGGUUGUAAAGCUCUUUUACCCGGGAUGAUAAUGACAGUACCGGGAGAAUAAGCUCCGGCUAACUCCGUGCCAGCAGCCGCGGUAAG